rnacentral:lncRNA from 1 species
GAAAUGUUGUGUCAGGACACAGGAGGCAAAUUGCACACUGUGCAUCCUAUUUUUUUCUUCUCUCCUUUCUUUUGUGGAAUGAAGACUGGCCAAAUAGGGACUGUAUUUGUAUUCCUCCUCUCUUUACAGUGGCUCCAUGACACGGUCAGAGGACACAGCACAACCUGGCGAUGGUUGGGAUACUGACCCAGAGCUCGGGACCCUAUUUGCAGCAGCACCCACUCAGCCUGAGAGAACUCUGGGAGUAACAGGUGGACUGGAAAGCCAGAUGUAUCUUCUCUGCUGUGUGAUCUUUGACAAGAUAUUUCAUCUGCUUAAAGCCUCAAGUUUCUCAUUUCCAGAGUGGAACUAAGAACUUGAUUACUGUAGACAUCAAAUGAGGUAAUGCAUGUAAAAUACUUGGUACGGGCCCUGAAAAACAGGAUAUAUUGGACACAUUUCAGCUUAAAAAAGGUGUGAUCUUGAAGCUCCUCGAUCUUUUCACUUUAGUAAUGAAGGAAAAUAUGCAUCAUUCUGCGCCCUGAGUGGGAUUUUAGAGCAAAAGACAAAAAUGAGAGGAAGUAUUUUAUUUGCUUAAAACAAACCAUUUAAGAAUCACUCCGUGUGAGUAAUAUGAGCCUCACGACCCUUCCCCCCGCCUCCUCUGCCCCCAUGGAUUCUGGAAACAACAGAAGAAUCGUUCUGUUCAAAGGUUUCUCUGAACUAUACCAUUCGGGCAGGUUUUAUGAGAGAUUAUAUAGCUCUGUAAAGACCUUGAUCAAACCUGACAACAGGACCACAGAUAACAUCGUUGUCAGUUUACUCAAUUGAGUUAUCUGAAAAAUAUGGGAUUUAAUUAGAGUCUAUUUUCUGUUCUUUAUAAACGUGAGUGGAGAAAGACGCCUGCCAGCCGACCCAGAACAAAGGCCACACUCUGCGCAGAGCAGCCUCUCAUCCUUCCCAAGGCCAAGUAAUUAGACGUUGUUAGGACGGUAAUAUCUGAGGCAAAGAAGAAAAAGGCUGAAACUUCUUAAAAAUGUGAAUUAUCUUCUUGCCUGAAAGGAGCACAGAGAGGAAUUCCACUGUGCUUCUCUGAGAGCCAAGGCUGCAUUAGAAGAUUACUCCAAUAUUAUUCAGGAUGAAAGGAAAGACAACUGUGGUUUUGAAAGCAUGAGGCCUAGUAGGUGUCUGUGUGAGCAAGAAAGUACAAAGACGAUCAUCUGGAAAGGAAGCCAUUUCUAGAAAAGAGAAUUUGAUUUUCUUGUCUCCUGUUUGCCUGAAUCUGAGUGACUUAAGAGCAGAGACUAGAUUUGGCGAUGGACGUCUCCAGUCUUGGUCCACAGCAAAUGGCGCCCCAGGGGUCCAGAGGAUUAUAAUGAAAAAUGAAGGAAAAUGCUUUUUUGUUUGUUUGUUUUAAAUUUUCUGAAUUAGAGUCAGGAUGGUCAAUUUUCUUGAUUUCUUAGAAAGUUGACUGCCAGUGUUGGUCCGUGGGGUAGGACCUGAAUAUUUUGAUGUAAUACUGAAAUUAGGGUCCUCUGAUGGAAUGUGUCCUUAGAACAUUUAAUCAAGAACCAUGCCAUUUUUUUCUGGCUGAUUUAAAAUCCUAGUUUCUGCUAAGAGGAUAAAACAGCAGUAACUUGUGGUGGGUGAGGUUGGGGGAGGGCGAGAGGAUUAAAAAUCGUGACUUUUUGUAUGUAAAUUGCACUAUUACCCAAAGAAGGCACCGCCAUUUUUUCCUGUCCUUUGUCCGUUCACCUGGUCCUACGAUCUGUGUGGGAGGAACUCUCAGGACCUCGGUUCUCAUUCCUGUCUGUGCACAGUAGCAUCCACCACGUAGGUAUUGGGUUUUUCUAGACGGGCAUCUGAUUCACCUUCUGGUAGUGUAAUUUGGCGUUAGACCAGAAAAAGGCCAUUCUGUUCUUUAGGAGCAGGAUGGUAACUAGGUGUUAAUCCCAAAUCUGGUUUUCUCUACAUCUUACACUGCUUCAUAGGCACUUGGUCUUACCACUUUGUUAAGUCUGAGAGCCUUGUGCCCCUCGUGCUCACCCAGCUGAUCACCAGAUACUUCUUCUAAACAAACCGGAAAGUCAUUCUUCCUGACGUGCAGCCUUUCAAAGCUGUGCCCCGGCCUUCCUGCGGCAGGCGUGCAAGUUUCAGAGCUCUACCUGAGGGGUGGGAAGCAAAUUGUUCAUGCCAGAGUGUUGUGCUUUUUCUUGCUCAUCGUCCGUUUUUCUGACAGAAUUUUUGACUCCACUUCACAACUCCAUUCCAAGACAGUGACGGGAAAAAAGCCAUCGUGAGAGGAAUGUGAGGGGCAACCACCAGGCGCCUGGCGAUGGAGUAGUGGAAGCAUUAAGCCAUGUCAGUAGCUGUUAUGCCCAGAAUGUGGUUUGACAUCCCAGGAAGCAAAGGUUAUCAUUCCAGAGUUAUCCAUAAACAACAGCUUUCUCCUCCACAAAAACCCCAAGAACGGAUUCCAUUUCUUAAAGCGUCACUUAGACUUUUUUGAAAAUAAAAAAGAGAGGUUGUAGAAGGACCUGGCA